AUAGGACUCAUAAUAGAACUGAAACUUCAAAUGAAUCUCCUAUGAAAAGUUUUAACUUCUUUGAUAGAUUUAGGUGUUGCCUACUUAGUAAUAGCUUGAACCUUUUCUGGAUCUGGUUUCAAACCUUUUGCAGAUGCAAAGAAACCAAGAAAAAUUGCAGUGUUUCAAGUUUAUAUAGAGCUGCUCCCUUUGAAGUACCUCUAAAACUUGUCGCAAAUGUUUCAAGCGCUCUUCCUUAUUGUGGCCAUAGAUCAAAAUGU
rnacentral:misc_RNA from 1 species